rnacentral:rRNA from 1 species
AACGAACGCUGGCGGCAGGCUUAACACAUGCAAGUCGAACGGUUGUAGCAAUACAGCAGUGGCGCACGGGUGAGUAACGCGUGGAUAUCUGCCUUUUGGUUCGGAAUAACCCCGGGAAACUGGGGCUAAUACCGGAUGGUUCCUUCGGGAUAAAGAUUUAUCGCCAAAAGAUGAGUCCGCGUACGAUUAGCUAGUUGGUGAGGUAAUGGCUCACCAAGGCGACGAUCGUUAGCUGGUCUGAGAGGACGAUCAGCCACACUGGGACUGAGACACGGCCCAGACUCCUACGGGAGGCAGCAGUGGGGAAUAUUGGACAAUGGGGGCAACCCUGAUCCAGCCAUGCCGCGUGAGUGAUGAAGGCCUUCGGGUUGUAAAGCUCUUUUGGCGGGGACGAUGAUGACGGUACCCGCAGAAUAAGCCCCGGCUAACUUCGUGCCAGCAGCCGCCGUAAAAC